AAUUUGACUGGAAGAGCUAGAAUUCUAACCUUGUAUCAGAACCUACGGGCCAAGAGACAGUCUCAGAUAAACAGUUUUUAUGGGGCGUAGGCCUCCCAAAAGGUAACGAAGGCGUGCAAAGGUUUUCUCAGGCCGGAUGGAAAUUGACCCUCAAGUGCAAAGGUAGAAGAGAGUUUGACUGCAAGACCCACCCGUCGAGCAAGGACGAAAAUCGGCCUUAGUGAUCCGAUGGUGCCGAGUGGAAGGGUCGUCGCUCAACGGAUAUAUAUU
rnacentral:ncRNA from 1 species